AGAAUCAUUACUAAAACAGUAAAUAAAUGACCUUGUAAAACGGAAGAUUGCAGUAGAUGAAGAAAAUGCUUUUUUAAGGAAAGAAUUCAGUGACUUGGAGAAGAAAUUUAAAGAUAAAAGUCAAGAAGUUAAGGACACAAAGGAGUGUGUACAGAAUAAAGAAGAGCAAAACAGACUAGUUAUAAAAAAUCUGAAGGAGGAAAAUGAGAAAUUAAGUACCCGCUGCACUGACUUGCUAAAUGACCUGGAGAAACUGAGGAAGCAAGAAGCACACUGGAGAAAAGAAAAAUACAGCAUUGAUGCAAAAAUAAAGGCCUUUGAAGACAGUUUAUUUGAAGCAAAGAAAGAAAUUGAAAUAUCACAGAGUAAAUAUAAUGCCUUAUCAUUACAAUUGAAUAAUAAACAGACUGAACUUAUUCAAAAGGAUAUGGAUAUUACCCUGGUCAG